AGAACGAACGCUGGCGGCAUGCCUAAUACGUGCAAGUCGAACGAACUCUUCGGAGUUAGUGGCGCACGGGUGCGUAACGCGUGGGAAUCUGCCCUUGGGUUCGGAAUAACAGUUGGAAACGACUGCUAAUACCGGAUGAUGACGAAAGUCCAAAGAUUUAUCGCCCAGGGAUGAGCCCGCGUAGGAUUAGCUAGUUGGUGAGGUAAAGGCUCACCAAGGCGACGAUCCUUAGCUGGUCUGAGAGGAUGAUCAGCCACACUGGGACUGAGACACGGCCCAGACUCCUACGGGAGCAGCAGUAGGGAAUAUUGGACAAUGGGGCGAAAGCCUAG
rnacentral:rRNA from 1 species